CUAAUGAAAAGCUUCAGAUUUUCUGAAGUGAAGUCUGCUUCAUAUACAUGCCCUCCCCCACAAAGUUCAAGUCUCCUGUUUCUGGUCCAAUACCCUUAAGAUGUCACCUCUUUGGGGUUUUUGACUCCACUCCAAUAUUGUGACAUAGAAGGCUCCUGAAU